rnacentral:rRNA from 1 species
CCUACGGGUGGCAGCAGUGAGGAAUAUUGGUCAAUGGGCGCGAGCCUGAACCAGCCAAGUAGCGUGAAGGAUGACUGCCCUACGGUUUGUAAACUUCUUUUAUAGAGGAAUAAAGUGAGGCACGUGUGCCUAUUUGUAUGUACUUUAUGAAUAAGGAUCGGCUAACUCCGUGCCAGCAGCCGCAGUAAUACGGAGGAUCCGAGCGUUAUCCGGAUUUACUGGGUUUAAAGGGAGCGUAGAUGGGUUGUUAAGUCAGUUGUGAAAGUUUGCGGCUCAACCGUAAAAUUGCAAUUGAUACUGGCAGCCUUGAGUACAGUUGAGGUAGGCGGAAUUCGUGGUGUAGCGGUGAAAUGCGUAGAUAUCACGAAGAACUCCGAUUGCGAAGGCAGCUUACUAAACUGCAACUGACAUUGAUGCUCGAAAGUGUGGGUAUCAAACAGGAUUAGAUACCCCAGUAGUC